CGAGUCUUAAUUGGGCGUUAAGUUGCAGGGUAUAGACCCGAAACCCGGUGAUCUAGCCAUGGGCAGGUUGAAGGUUGGGUAACACUAACUGGAGGACCGAACCGACUAAUGUUGAAAAAUUAGCGGAUGACCUGUGGCUGGGGGUGAAAGGCCAAUCAAACCGGGAGAUAGCUGGUUCUCCCCGAAAGCUAUUUAGGUAGCGCCUCGUGAAUUCAUCUCCGGGGGUAGAGCACUGUUUCGGCUAGGGGGCCAUCCCGGCUUACCAACCCGAUGCAAACUGCGAAUACCGGAGAAUGUUAUCACGGGAGACACACGGCGGGUGCUAACGUCCGUCGUGAAGAGGGAAACAACCCAGACCGCCAGCUAAGGUCCCAAAGUCAUGGUUAAGUGGGAAACGAUGUGGGAAGGCCCAGACAGCCAGGAUGUUGGCUUAGAAGCAGCCAUCAUUUAAAGAAAGCGUAAUAGCUCACUGGUCGAGUCGGCCUGCGCGGAAGAUGUAACGGGGCUAAACCAUGCACCGAAGCUGCGGCAGCGAACGUAUCACCCAAGACAACUUUACGGAGUUGACGAUUGACGGAGCGAAGCGACGUCAAAGCGUUCAUUAAAGUCGAGUUGGCUUAGGGAUACGUUCGUUGGGUAGGGGAGCGUUCUGUAAGCCUGUGAAGGUGUGUCGUGAGGCAUGCUGGAGGUAUCAGAAGUGCGAAUGCUGACAUAAG
rnacentral:rRNA from 1 species